GCUGGGCACAGUGGCACAUGCCUGUAAUCCCAGUGAUUCAGGAGGCUGAGGCAGGAGGAUCACAAAUUCACAGCAGCCUCAGCAACUUAGCAAGGCUCUAAGCAACUUGGUGAGACCCUGUCUCAA
rnacentral:sRNA from 1 species